GAAACUCCAGUACUUUGGCCACCUCAUGCGAAGGGUUGACUCAUUGGAAAAGACUCUGAUGCUGGGAGGGAUUGGGGGCAGGAGGAGAAGGGGACGAUAGAGGAUGAGAUGGCUGGAUGGCAGCACUGACUCGAUGGACGUGAGUCUGAGUGAACUCCGGGAGUUGGUGAUGGACAGGGAGGCCUGGCAUGCUGCAGUUCAUGGGGUCGCAAAGAGUCGGACACGACUGAGCGACUGAACGGAACUGAACCAGAUGGUUAUGGACCCUUGACAUUGUAUCAGUAUUGAUGGGGAAUAGUGACAGCACAGGUCUCAAAUAAGGGAGGUAGAAUGACUGUUUUUUAGAAUCUUCACUGGCUCCAACUGUCUACCUUCAGAUAGGUUCCUACACAUGAUCCCUGUCCCUCUACCACCCAAACCUACCUGGUUCUUAAUUCUCCCACUUCUGCUGAUGGAAGCACCAGCAUCUGAGCUACUAAAAUUUAACAUCCGUGUUGUCCUUGACUCUCAUAUCACUUCAGAUCUCUGCAGUCCCUCAGUCCACUGAUUUGACCUCCCACCUACACCCGCUUUCCCGUUCCUGCUAUUACUGUUGCAGAAACCAGUACUCGAGAAACCAAGCACCACACUCGGAGAGCUGGAGAGCUGGGAUGUAUCACGCCGUCAGGCCCAGAGGAGUUAACGCUCCAACCUCUGAGCCCUGAACAAGGGAUUACAGAGUUUUUACAGACAGACUGUAGUGGGCAACACUAGCUGUUAAUAGGCUGGUUUAAACUAAGGGGUUUCUUGUGCAGGAACAGCAGUCAAGAUGCAGAGGGAGAUGCCUGGCCUGGACAGGCAUGAUUAAGCAGGUUUGCAGGGGCCCGGUGAUUGCAAAGAGCAGGACAAGGGUAAGUGAGAUAAACUCCAGUUCCUAGUAUUGCAAGUCCCCACUUUCUGAGACUACGUGACCUACAUGAUCUAGACUUUCCAAGGGGCCAGCUGAGUUAAGAGGCAGGAUGAGCAGGAGUGGUCAUGUAUGGAUGUGAGAGUUGGACCAUAAAGAAAGCUGAGCACCAAAGAAUAGAUGCUUUAGAGUAGGUGUUGGAGAAGACUCUUGAGAGUCCCUUGGACUGCAAGGAGGUCCAACCAGUCCAUCCUAAAGGAAAUCAGUCCUGAAUAUUCACUGGAAGGAUUGAUGCUGAAGCUGAAACUCCAAUACUCUGGCCUCCUGAUGCGAAGAACUGACUCACUGGGAAAGACCCUGAUUCUGGGAAAGAUUGAAGCUUUAUUGAGAUAUAAUUGAAAUACAAAAACCUGCACAUAUUUGACGUAUUCAAUUUGUUGAGUUUUUACAUACGUUAUAUAUACCUGUGAUACCAUCACCACAUUCAAGUAUCUCUGCCUGAUGUCUGAAUAAAGAGAAGAAGAAACACCACCACCACCACCAACAACAACAAAAAAAUGGUUAUCAGGAGACCAGACUAGAAGCUACUCGUGUUCCAAGUGAGAAAUGCAGGAACAGGGGAGUUACUGACAAGCUGUGUGGCAGACUCAAGACCUCCUUGGAGAAGACUAUGUUCUAGUUGUGAAGCAAACACACACACAGUGAGUCAGAUUAGCUGGCAAAUGACUAAAGUCAUAUGUUUGGACACAGAGUUUUGGAGAGAAGAGCUGAGAACACUCCAGGGCCUUGCCAUUCUUUCUCCAGUUCCAGUCCUCCAGCUUCACUCUGGGGUCUUCAGACGACUGCUGUGCUAGCUCUCCCAGGUUAGGACAUCCUCAGAGGAAUCUCCCAAGUCCCACCCCAACCAAUCCUCUCAAAGCUCCCGUGUUUGGAUAUGGCCAUUUCUGAAGACACACAUCUGGGAAGCAGCUGCCUCCCCACUCUCACAAAAUCUUCUCUGUCUGAUCCAGUUGAAGUCAGAGCAGAGAAGAGGUGUGGGGGACUAAGGAAACGCAGAAAAUCUGUCCAAGAUGGGAUCUAGGUAGAGUGUCAGGGGCACCACCCCAAAUCUUCGGAGCCAUGCCUCUGGGGUAGCCACUGGGAUUCCAACUGGUCUUUGCGCCUCCCUCUGAUCCCUGCAAGACCAGAUGCGUCCCACAGCUGUGUGCCAUCUGCCACCCCCUACCCCGAAGGAAGCUGCAGUUUGGAGGUUAAAGAUGUGAGGGGGAAGAGAGUGACUCUUCGUUGGCUCUGGAGGGUUAGUUAUGGGAAUAGGCAUCUAGACUUCCCACGUAGUAGGCAAAUGGCCCAACAUCCAACUGCACAGUGGCUCCCCCCAAAACUCUCCUGGCAUGAGAAAAAAUUUCAAAGAAAAAAGUCAAUAUGCUGGGGUUUCCAAACUCUUUCCCUACUAAAUAUUUCACAGACCCGAGCUUAGAAACUUCACCUUUCCGGUUUAUUUACUCCCAUUUACUCUCUGUCCCUCUCCCUUCCUCCACACCCCAAACACUUGCACCCCGAGUUCCCAACCUGGGUCAUCAUGAAGUCUAACAACUUCUAGUCAUACUGACAUGGAAUCCUCCCCAAAGGAAGAGAACCGGACGCCCGUCCAGCAGAUGACGUUUUCGGCCCCUCCCUGAGCUCAGAAGCCUGAUGCCGCCCAGACAUAUGGAUCUUUUUAGAGACUUAGGCAAUUUAGCAAUCCCGUUUCACACCCUCCAAGCCCUCCUGCUCAGACACUGUUCUGCCGGGACUGCCCCAGGAGAGGGAAGGAGUGGACCCAUGGAGGCUCUUUUCUUCUUCUUCAUCCUUUGUCAUUGCUCCUGGCAAGAGUCUGCUCAAUCAGGAAGGCGAUUGUUUGUCCUCGAGUCCAGUCUUGGGCCGAAAACAGGAAGGAAUUGAGAGAGAGAGAAAGAAAGGAGGGAAAGAAAGAACACAGCAGCACUAUUUUGGUUAGUUUUCCAAGACACAAGGCUGGAAACCCCUCAACCACCGACACACUGGGUCUUGCUCCUCCCCUUCUGCACUGCGGCCACUUCCGGAGGAGCCAUUUUCAUGCCGUUGUCCACAGGAACAGAGCUGCUGAGUCCCGGCCAUGCUCAGCCCGAGCACAGUGUUCUGCCUCUCUACUUCCUUCACGUUAUCCAUCCUGAGCCUCUGUGGCUCCAUUCAGCCUUGCUGUGUGUGCUCAGAAAUGGAAAAUGCUUCUGCUGAGGCGAAAAGAGCUCCCUGCCUCCUUGCGGGCACACCUGCCCCUAUCCUCCCCCUCAGACGGCAUACAGGAGGCUGCCAUGUUUUGAAGGAAAGGGAAGUUUCUCGCUGUUAUGGAAGAAAGAACAACUCUGCUCAAAGGUCUGACACCAGCACAGCCGAGGAGAGUGUUCUGGCUCUCAGAGGUCUGAUUCUCACAGCCUGAGACCUCUGGUGAUUCCCAGCUGGGAAGUCUGCAAAAUUUGUACCCUAAAGGGUGGGGCCAUCUUGGAUGAAGAUGGUGAACUAGGAGGAGUCCGAAAAAUUCAUAGGAAUUGGGCUGUCCUUGACCCAUUCCCCCGACCCGCCGCCUCUGAGGUGGUCUCUUUUAGGCGUAGCCCUAACUCAGAAGAUAAGCAGUAGGAGAGGGGUGAAGGGAGAAAUGUUCCCAGAGCCAGGCCCCAACCAACCACCUUAUUUUAUGUGAUGGUUUUAAGAAAGAAAAGACCUCCAUGGAAAGUGCAACAAUCAAUAGUUUGGGACAGAUGUUUCCUUUCCAGCCACCUUUUCCUGCCCCAAGCUAAAAAUAACCACCCUCUGUGCUUUGGCUUCCAUCAAAUGUGUGUCAUUAAAGUUGUCCGUUUGGGUUUCCAGAGACAAAGACUGAUGGAUUCCUGGAUUUCCCAGCCUGUUGGGCCAUGUGCUACAUGCAGUAUUGGGUGCAAGAUGACUCUAGCCCCCCGAGGUGAUUCUUGGGUCCCAGACAUCACUUCCCUGCUCCUACCUUUAGGUAGCACCACAGAGUUUCCAAGUGAGGAAGUGCAGUUUGCCAAGUAGCUCCACUUCUGUUACUCCAAAUAAAUCCUUCACGUUGGCAUUUUCUUGAAUCCAUUACACUCCAGCCCCCAGGGUAGCCUUGACCCUUCCUGUACUCUGGCUUUACUGGAAAUACAAAUGUUAUCUGGUCGCACUCAAGAGGGAUGCUGAGAUAGGCCUGCCCUGGCAGGAAGAUUUAUUGGAAACCUAGAAGAGACACAAGGGACAUAAGCAGAGCCAACAGCAGAGGUAGAGACACACUCACAUUCACAGGGCACGGAUUUCUGCCCCAUUCUCAGAGGGCUGCUUCCCGCGGCUUAGAAAUGUUUUCUCCAAGUGCCCUCAUUGCUGACAUAUAUAUUCGCUCUUAAGCCAAGCUGUUUUCUGUUAUCACGUGGCUGCUCCUUCAGACAACCUAGGUCCUAACAAAUCUUAAGAGGACUACAGUAAAAAUCAGCACAUUUAUUUUCCUUUUCACGAUGCAAAUAGCUUUAUUUGUCAUUUUUUGUUUGUGAAAGUAACACAUCAUUAUUGUAAAAAAUAAAAUAAAAAAGGGCCAUGCUGUACACAGA
ensembl:lncRNA